rnacentral:lncRNA from 1 species
AUAUAUAUAUAUAUAUAUAUAUAUAGAGUUGAGCUAGAAUACUAUCGGUAGUAAACGAGCCGUUUUACUACCGAUUUGUUUUCGAUGAUAGAACUUCCAAAUUGACGAUCGGCUCUGUUGAACAUGAUCUAUACCACUUGAAGUGUUUAGAAAUCAAAUUUCAAAUCUUUUCGACAUCAUUUACCUAAUGAUCAAAGGGUUUCAAAAUUUGUAAUUUUAAUGGUCGAUAAGAGGCGUUUUCUCGCUUAACGGCGUAAAGAUAUCCAAAUCAAUUGAAUUUUUGUUAGAAAAUUCUUUAAACUAUUUAAAACAAGAUCUAUACUCUUGAUCUUGAUUACAAGACUCCUAUCAUCAUUUUUUAAAGAGUAUUCAUUUUCAGCCAUUCAUUUUUCUGUUCACUUGAUGGAUAAAAGAACAAUAUCGAAAGUGCGUGAAAUUUGAUUUCUAGGUAGUUUAAAUGGUUUAGAUCAUAUUUAACGGAGCCGAUCGUCAAUUUGGAAACUCUAUCAUCGAAAACAAAUUGGUAGUAAAACGGCUCAUUUACUACCGAUAGUAUUCUAGCUCAACUCUCUCUCUCUCUCUCUCUCUCUCUCUCUCUCUCUCUAUAUAUAUAUAUAUAUAUAUAUAUAUAUAUAUGUCAAUUACAACUUUGUAUCUCCGAAUAAGUUUGGAUGAUCUUAUAGUCACUACUACUACUUUCGCUUGAUCAUGUGCAUCUUUCUCUACCGUCUUUGACAAUAUUUCUCUGUAUGAUCCCCUUUCAAAUUGCUGAAUUGGAUGAAAAUGUGCUGAAAGUAACUUGUAUUAGUAGUUUCUAUUUUUCCUCGGUUGGAAAAUCCUAGAAAGUUUUCUGUUGGAGAGAACAAUGUGUUUUAACUGUUUACUUUUUUUUUUUCUUUUUUGCUAUUCCAAUUUUUGGUGUAUAGUUUACUGUCAUUCAUGAUUUAAAAUUAUACAUUGGCUGACUUUGGUGUAUUUAGCUGUUUAUGUUAUAUAUAAAUGCUAUAUAGUAAUGUAGGAGAAACAGUUGUAUGCUUACUUCUACCUUCCUGUGAGGGUUAAACCUGAUGGAGAGUUAGAUAAGUUAUUUAUAGGUUAUAGUAUGCAGAGACCCUGUCAAUUAUUGGCAAUUUUCGAAUAGACCUGUGAACUUUUAAUUUUCUCUGCUUAAAAUCAGGCAGAGACAGACCCCAAAUCAAGUGAGACAAUAUCUCUUAAUUAAAAUAACCAAUUAAGGGGUGUCAAUUAAAAACAAGCAGGUUUGGGAUCUAUUUGUGAAACAGCCUAUUGAGCGAGUCACAGUACAUUCUUCACUUUAUUUAGACUGUCUAUUUUGCCUAAGCUGGUCUUUUAACGCUAUAUUGAUUAUCCUUGAAUUUUAUGAGAAUAGUCAUUCUGGAUUCAUGUAUAUAAAUAAAUAUAUAAUAGUCUAUUGAAUGUCUUGGCAUGACAUGUGGCAGCUUAUAACGUUCUAUUUCCUCUCCAUGCUUCUAGGCUGGGAUGCACAUUUAUGCUAGAGCAGCAGCUAAGGGGAAACGUGUCCAGGUGAACUCAUACAUCUUUUCAGCAUUAUUCAUGUGACUGUGCUCCUUCACGAAAGACAGUGACUUAGUUUUGUUUGGUUAUCUCUCUCCCAUAGAUGGCUGUUUGUCAUUUUCCAUACAAGUUUCAAGUGACAUCUUCUAAAUAUUAGUCUUUUCUUUAGUCAAACAUGGGUGCGAAGAACCAUGCAGUUGUCCUUCCUGAUGCUAGUGUUGAUGCUACAUUGAACUGCCUUGUUGCUGCUGGCUUUGGUGCAGCAGGGCAAAGAUGCAUGGCAUUAAGCACUACUGUUUUUGUUGGAGACUCAAAACCAUGGUAUAAUUUCUUCAAUACGAUCUUUUGAUGUCUUUAGUCAAAUAUCAUAUUUAAUAGUUUAUGUUGUUAUUCUUGUAAUAAUCUGUGCGUGUGGACUUUCACUGACUUUUUUUUAAUUGCAGGGAGGAUGAAUUAGUAGAACGUGCCAAAUCUUUGAAAGUAAGUGCAGGAGUAGAGCCUGGAACAGACCUCGGUCCGGUGAUCAGUAAGCAGGUGUGAUCUAUUUGAGAGAGAAUGAUUAGUUCAUGCCAUUCUUUUUUAGUAGUAUAUGAUUUAAUUGAUGUUUUAUGUGCCAUGAGUGGAUUAAGAGUAACAGAAGUGGAACAAUAAGAAGUUGCAACUUCGUCGAAAGAAGUUGCAACUUCUUUAACGUUUGUCAUAAUUAUACUUUUCUUCACUAUGUCUGAAGAAUUUUGAACUGCUUGUCAGAAAAAAAAAGAAGAACUUGUCCAUCAAAAGAAUUUGCAAUUGCCUAAACCCUGGCAUGAUGACACUGAUUGGCAGAGCAUUUUAUCAAUGAGUCAUUGUAUGAGAGCAAUCAUGAUAACAUUCAAGAGGCUUUUUUCAAACCAUUCAUGGAUCAUCUAGUAUGGAAAAUAUUAUUUGGAUUUCUGAUAUUUGGAACCAUAAGUAAUAUAGAAUAUCAGUUUUCUGCUAGAAAGGUGAUCUGCUAGUAUAUUGGAAAUCAUUUAUCUUAAAUCCUGGAAACGUGUAUGAUGGAUUCAGAACAGUGGGACUUUUGUUUCAGAAUUGAUUUUAAACUCUGAAGAGAGGAUCUGAGAGAGCUUUCAUCAAUUAGAGAUGCAUCCCUGGGAGUCUAUUGAUGAAAUAACUGACUGAUGACGUCUUGAAAACUUCUUGGCGAUUUAAUCUUAAAGUUUUUGUUGUAUUUGUUUUGUUCUGUCACUUUACUGGGUAUUGGUUUUGGAAAUGUUGGACAAAUUGUUUUAUUUUUCACUGCUAACCUUUUUUCACUAAUUUUGGCACCGCAUAAUAUAAUUGAUAUGAUAUGUGAUAUGAUAUUUUAAGAAAUCAUAAAAAUGGUUUUUCUUAUGUUAUCUUUUAAUAGUUUCUUUUAUAAAAUUUUCAAUCAACAGGCGAAGGAUCGUAUUUGCAGAUUGAUUCAAAGUGGCAUUGAGAGUGGUGCUCGAGUUGUGCUUGAUGGAAGGAAUAUUGGGGUAGGGACUUGUUAAAUUAUCAUAUUGAUACCUAUAGUUAUACAUUGAUCUUCCUGAAAUAUGUUGAUACAAUUCAUCUAUUGGAACACAGUUUUACCUAAUUGUUUGGUUUGGUAUAAUCUGUGGUAAAGAGUAGCAAUGCUUAAAACAUCUGCUGCUAGGCAGUUCCUGGAAUGAGCAUGAAAAAUCAAAGCUUCAGUUUCUUUUAAACAGAUAGAGAUGGACCUAGCAGUUGCCAAACUCCAAAUCACUAUUAACAUUAUACAUCUUUCAUCAUCUAUAUAGGUUCCCGGUUAUGAGGAUGGCAAUUUUGUUGGUCCAACCAUUUUAGCUGAUGUUACGAGUGACAUGGAGUGCUACAAGGUAUAUGAGUUAUAUGUCACCAUUUUGAUGUUGCUGUUUUUUUCAUAGUAUGAAAGUUUUUGCGAAGUAAGUAUCUCUAUCAGUACAUUUGAUGGCAAUUUUACUGAACUUGAACAGGAGGAAAUCUUUGGCCCAGUUCUUCUCUUGAUGAAGGUUAGACUAGUGUUUUAUGGUGUCUUGAAAAAAAUUUCCUCACUGAUACUGACAGUGUCAUCCAAUCACAGGCUGAAAGCUUAGAUGAGGCCAUCAAAGUUGUUAAUAGCAACAAGUAAUGAUUAUCUCCCUUGGAUGUUGGAAUAUUUAGAUAUAGCUUUGUUUAAUCCGAGUAAUCAUCUCUACCUUGAUACCUUCUUGGCUCAGGUAUGGCAAUGGAGCAUCCAUAUUUACCACAUCAGGUGUGUCUGCGAGGAGAUUUCAGAGUGAGAUAGAAGCCGGCCAGGUAGGAUCUGGUUCCCAAUUUUUUUUUUUUUUUUGGUAUCCUGCUAUGUAGAUGUUGAAAUUUCAGUAUGGUGCAGGAUGAGAAUCUUCUCUGUAUUAGUUAUGAAGAAUGAUAGAGCAACAAUCUACAAAUCGGAAGCAUGCAGAAGAAUAGUAUGUAGUGUGAAAGUCGGUAAUGGUUUUGAUGUAUGACAAGGGGAAAGUUCUCUUUAUUUUUGAGAGAGAGAAUGGUUGCAUGCUGCCACUUCGUUCAUUUUUUUGGAACUUAGCUAGAAAUAUGAAGCAACUAGGUAAUGAACUCGGGACUGUGGGUACCAAAUACCAAACAGCAAAACCCUUGCUGCUUGCUCUAGGGAUAGUCGGUAACAAGGGGAAAGUUUUAGGAGAUUAAAUGAGAGCUAUGCUGGAGCUUUUAUUUGGAAUGGAAAUUAUUCACUGUUGAAAUAGAGAUGAUGGGUUUUCAGAAGGAAGUUCAUAAUUCAUAACGAGGAUAGUCUAGACUCUAGGGACAUUGAAUGUCAAGUUUUGGUGGAAAAUAAGUAUACUUUUAAAAUCACCAAGCCUGUUUGUAGGGAACAAUGAAGCAAAGUUAAACGGUAAUUAUCAACUUAGGUAUUGGAAAUCACGUGGACUGACACUACUGUUGUACGUGUGUUGCAAAAGUCUCGUGCGUAGGGUGGAGGAAGAACAUAUUCUGUAUAAGAGUUCUCUUAUUACAUUGGCUUGAACAUACGCCUUUCUUCCCUCAUUGUACUACUCCUUGAUCUAGGAAAAUGACGACAGAAAAGCAACGAAGUAAAAAAGAACAUAAAGAAAUCAUCUAGAUUGACAUACCAAAAAGAAUUAAUGUCAUCCAAAGUGUCCAAUCCUGCAUAGAUCACACCUUUAACUGAGGGUUCUCCCUAUGUCUCUAGUAUAUUUUGGAUCUUGUUGAUUCUUUGCAUCUUUCAGUCUUUCCAUGAGCUCUACUUGAUUCUUUAUGACAGAAUAUCAUUUUUGCUUCUCUACUCGUCCUUCUAAUUCUUCUCAAAAUUUAUAUUAACCUCUAACACAUUGUAUAUUUUCUGUUGAAGGUUGGCAUUAAUGUGCCGAUUCCAGUGCCACUUCCAUUCUUCUCAUUCACCGGCUCCAAGGCCUCUUUUGCUGGAGAUCUGAACUUUUAUGGUAUGGCAUUCAACGACUGAUAUCUAACUUUGUCUUGCUACUGCAAUCAUUCAUUAGCUUCUGAAUGGAUAACAUUAACGAACUACGACUACUAAUCGCAGGCAAAGCUGGUGUACAGUUCUACACUCAGAUCAAAACCGUCACACAACAUUGGAAGGACUCUUCGUCGAGCCAGGGAGUAUCACUUGCUAUGCCCACAUCGCAGAAGUCGUAAACAGAGUGUUCCGUGCUUUGAUAUCGUUAGAUGUGGUGCUGUAGUGCUACUCGUGUUCAAUAGGGUCUGUAAAAUAACCGAAUAAGAGAAUGUCGUGAUUAGAAUAAUUUAUCAAUAAGACACACUUUGGGACUGCCACAUUUUCUCUAAAAACUCUAACGCUAAAUUGACUGCAUCAUUUAAAUAUGGGAAAAUUUCAAAAACCCUCCUGUGGUUUUGUAGUUUCUUACUUUGGCCUCCUGUGGUUUAAAUGGUAUCAAAUUGCUCUCAUGUGGUUUCGUUUUUAUUUCUUCGGUAGCUUUUUUUGUUAAUAUUUUAUUAAAUUAUAUACGAAAAACUUUAUAUACUUAUCUAGAUUUAUCAAAUAUUCACUUUAGUAUGCUUUAAUUUUAACUUUAUCACUGAUUUAAGAAGAUAAGAAAAAGAGGAAAAAAAAACUACAGGGAGGCAAAUUGAUACAUUUUAAACUACAGGGGGGCAAAGUGAGAAACUACGAAACCACAGGGAGAGUUUUUGAAGUUUUUCCUUUAAAAUAUAGCUACUGAAUCAGCCAAUAAGUCAUUGCUGUAACACUUUUUUGUAUUUAACUCAACUUUCAUAUUAUUACUUUAUGAAAAAUAUACAUGAUUUAAACAGAAUUAUUCGAUUAACAUGCGAAUCAAAGUAUCGUAUCUUAUUUGAGAAAUUUGAAGCUUCGGUAACCAAUGGUGUAAUUUACUCCAAAUAGUAGAAAGCUCCUGCACUGAGAAGCUUGUAGUAAUAAUUGCAAGAUAGCACCAAACAACACUAGAGAAUGGAUGCAAUUAACAAUUGCAAAUGGUACUUAUUUUCUUCCUCUUUUUUUUUUUUUAAAUUAAAUCAUUCAAUAAGGUGACAUCAAGUAUCGCUGGAUAAAUUACAAUGUGGUGUUAGAUGAUGAUGAUGAUGAUGAAUAAUUAUAAUAAUAGAACAUUGUUCAAUCAUAGCUUUAAUACUGGGAAGAAUUCAACAACCCAAUUAGUUUUAAGGAAUAAACUACAAUGGAAGCAACCCUGUCCAGUAGACUUUUUUUUUUUUUUUUUUUUUUUUUUUUUUUUUUUUUUUUUUUUUUUUUUUUUUCCAAAUGAGUUCAUCUACCAUGCAAAUUGAAUUUAUAAUAGGGGUGAAAAUCGAUCCGAUAGUACUCCAAUCUAUAUCUGUACUAGUAUCUCGACACUAGAUAUGGAUACAGAUUUGAAUUUUGGACAGAUACUCAAAACUCGAAUUGGAUAGAAAUAAGAAUGGAUAUGAGUCAUAAAUCAUAAAGUAAUCUAUUUCAUAACCCUUAGCACUCAUAAAUCAGAUAAAUGAGAUUAUUAUUCUGAAAUGGCAUAUGCGCCGAGUAGGUGCGAAAUUUUCUACGGUGGUAUCCAAACAUGCGCAAAUUUCAGUCUUGUUUUGAGUAAAUUCCUAAUGAUUUAGGAAAGAGGAUGUGCCUCCAGGCCUUAUCAAAGAAAAAUGUGUGAAACUUCUAAAAACUAUAUGCUCCUGUUCUAUCCUUAAUUUUUCUAAGAAAGGACCAAUAGUAAAUAUGGACAUAUUGGUACUUUUGGAGAGCUUGGAACAUAAGAUUAUUAUUAUUAUACCAGGAGAUGAGAUCAUGCAAUAUUUGCUGUGGAGUUGGUGAAGCUUUUUUCUUGUGGCCCCAUGAUGCAUCUUAGGAACUUUCUCAAUUAGACAUUGUUGAUGUUGAAUUAGGUGGUGAUUAAUGUAACUUUCCAUCGUCGAAUUGCCGUUGUUAGUAAGCCUAAAAGAUGGGUUAGUUUUCAAAGCCUAAAUCAUCUGUUAUGAUGCCAUGUAAUUCAACUGCGACUUUUAUAAACAAACGAUUGUUCUGAUGCCAUGUAAUUCAAUUGUGACUCCUUAGAAAUAAAUGAUUGCUUACACUCUCACUUCAUCAUAUAUACUUAAUAUUUAGGUGUAUAUAAUACUUAGCACAAUUACUAGGAGAUGAGAUCUUGCCACAUUUGCUGUAGAGUUGGUGCAACUAUUUUCUUGUGGCCACAUGAUGGCCACAUGAUGCAUCUUAGGAACUUUCUCAAAUUAGGGCAUUGUUGAUGUUGAAUUACGUGGUGAUUAAUGACCCUUCCAUCGUCGAAUUUCCGUUAUUAGUAAGCCUAAAAGAUGUGUUAGCUUUCAAAACCUAAAUCAUCUGUUUUGAUGUAAUCCAACUGUAACUUUUAGAAGUAAACGAUUGUGUAUGCUCUCACUUGAUCAUACAAACUUAAUCUCUAAGCAUAUUAUACUUCACACAAUCACAAGGUCAUAUAAUAAUUUCCUUAGUGUCAUAAUUAAAUGCAUUUUUGCAUUUUGGCAAGGUCUAAAGAUGCUAAAGUCAAAUUAAUAAGAACAUAAGAAUGGGGAAAUAAAAUGAAAGUGCUGGUAUAAUUUCCUUGUUCUUGUGCAAAGUUCAUUAUCCAAACGACGCCUCGUUGAAGGCCCUCGAUCUGCUAUGAUGCGUCAGUUUUGUCUCUGUCCAAGAGUUAUAAUCUUUUUUCUAUAGUUAAUUUUUUUUUUUUUUGAAUUUUAGUAUUAAAUAACACUCAAUAAAUCUUCAUAUUGAAGCAAAACUAACACAUGACAGCGAAUUAGUAACUCGCCAAUGAAGCAUCGUUGGGACCUUCCCUUUGAAGUUUUAUCCCAAAUAGAGACUCAAAAUGGUUUGGUUUUAACUAUCCAAAAAAGCAGUGUUUGAUUUGUGUCCACAUCACUUAAACUUGUUUCUUUGUUCUAUAAAUUUAUCCCUUGCUAUUUAUUGGAACACUUGGCUUUUAUAUUUGGUUACAUAUCCAAAAUGAGCUUUCUAUAAUAAACAUGCCCACUACUGAUUUGUCAUGUGCUAAAUGCAGAGAAUUAAUGAUUAGUAUAAAAAUUUGGUUGCAACUGCUCAACUUAAUGCUAAGUAAAGAUGCUCUUGUACUCAUUCCAUAAAUGUUGAUCUACUUAUUUUGCUUCUAUUAAUACUUAAACCUAAUUUUAACAAUGUAUUUUUUUCUUUUUGUUUGUUUGUUUUUUUUUAAUAAGAGAUUGGGUUUUACUAGAAAAACAUAGGGUAUGAUGCUUCACCUAGCAAAAUUUUUUAGAUUUUUUUUUCUAAGGAAAUCUACAUUCUAUGUAGGGCUUUUUUUAAUAAUUUUUUUUUAAAAAAAAAAUUAUAGUUUUUAAUUUGUACAUUAAUUCUAUUUGAUCCAACUCGGAGCCACGUUACGAGAAAAGUGAAAUAUUGUGAAUUAUUUACCAUCUUUAAAAAAGGUAAGUCAUUUACUAUUUUUUAGAUUGUUGUUGUUAUUUAUAUGUUUUUCUGUAUGGGCUGUAUUAAGAACGGUGAACAAUUCAUCAUCUUUCAAUUAUUAUUCUACCGUGACACUGAACGGGAGAAAAUAGAGUUAUUUAGUCAAGUAAAUUAUUUAGCCAAAUAUAAACUUUUUAAGGGUUAAUUUGAAAAAAAUUCAAUUUAAUUUCACAUAAUAAUUAUUAUUAUUAUUAUUAUUGGUUAGCUUGCAUAUAGUGCAUCUUGUCAAGUUGUGGGAUGAUAUUCUUUUAAAAGAUUAAAAAAAAAAUUGCCAUUUGCUCCCACAAUCAAUCACAUAAUAAAACUUCAAUUUCAAAAUAUAAAAAAAAUGAGGAAAAAAAAAAUCAAGCAACCCUAAAGUUACCAUCAUCUUAUUGUUGAAAUUUUUUAUUAGAAAAUUGUGAGCUAGAGUGCACAUGCCUUUGAUGUGAGCCUCAAAUUAGGGCACCAUACAAGACAAAUAUUCCAUUGGAUGCAAUGUCAGCUAAAGCCAUAAAUACAAACAACACAUCAAAAAUAAAUAUUUUGAUGACCCCUACAUGAUGUAGAUCUAUGGAUUAUAUUCAGCAAUCAUUCUAAUAAUAAUAAAAUUCUCCUAUACUCAAAUCAGCGAUAAAAUCUUUAUAGCUUAAUGUACACAAUUUUUAUAUAACGAGAGAGUUCUCCGUACUCAAAUCAGCAUAAAAUCUUCACAGCUCAGUGCAUACGAUUUUUGCAUGCGAUUUUUAUAUAAAUGAGAGAGGCUUUUACUUAUUUACUUCCUCACUACUAGUCAAAAAUUUUAAAUUUAUCGUGAAAUUAUCAAAAUAUUUUUUAAAACUGAAUUUUAUUAGUAUAAGAGAAAUGAGAAUAUUUGAAGGGAAUUUUUGAAAUCAAUAAUAGUAUUUUGAUUCUUCACGAUUAAAUAAGAUAUAUUUUUUGGAGUUUUGAAGGAUAUGUUAGAUAUUAUCUUUAUAUGAAAAGAUUUUGCUGUCCAUUCAUGAAAAUUUGUUGAAAUUUCGAAAAUCUAUAUUUAAAAGUGAAUCCGACCAAAAACUUAAAACUCGAAACUCAUCCGGAACCUGAAACAAUCAUUUAACUUUACCAUAUUUCAUAACAUAUUAUAUUAAAAUAUAAACCUUUAAAAUACAAAUUUAAAUAUAACACUGUACAUUCACAUAUAUAUUCUAUAAUGUAACAUUUGUUUCGUUUCGGGUUUAGAUCGAGUACAGAUACUAUAAUUCAUAUCCAAAUCCAAAUUUGAAUAGGUAAGAUUUUUAUUUUUAUAUCCAUAUUCGAAAUUUGGACUUAUAUUUUUGACUUGCAAAAUCCUGUGCAGUGUCUGUCUUCCUUCUCAAAUAUGGAUAAAUUUGGCUUGAUCAUGCUAGUCCAGACCUGCUCGUCCUCUAAGACCAAGUGUAAGAAAGAAAGAGAUGCCUGUGAAAAUUUUUUUAAAAAUAUAUAUUAUUUAGAGAAAAUAGAGUAUAAUAUUGAAGCUUGGAAUUUGGGAAUGAUUUAUGUUGGAAAUUUUAGGGCAGUGAAAAUUUACAAACUGGAUAGCCAACGUAUUUAGGAAUCGGAAUCGAAUCGAAUUGCUUGUUUUACAAGCCUACUUGGAUCGUCAUUGUCUUAAUGCUUCUAGAUCUCCAACGUAUCUCGCCUUCUCUUACGCCUACGGCUUACGUCGUGAAUCGAAUGCAUCGGAUGCCAAUCGAAGAGGGCUACGAGAGUCCUUUUCUAUAUCCAUCUUGAUUCCGGGAACGUAGGUGGAAAUUCCAGAGAGAAAGAAAAGAGAAGGAGAAUGGAUUCUUUUAGAUCGAAUUAGUAUUAGAUCAUAUGAUACAGAGAAAAGGGAUGUAUAUAUAGAAUAUUGGACCCCUAAAUAUCCUGAAUCUCACAUACUGAUUAAGAUUAGGAUAUCCAUAAUAGAUAUCAACUAGGAAAUAUGUUUCUUAACUAAUAAGAAACAUAUAAUUCAUCUUUAUUCUUAACUUAUUAGGAUAAAUUUCAAUCCACAUUUUAUGUGGAUCGGAUUGAAUUAAGACCCACCAAUAUAGACAUACCAAAUGACAACAGUUUAGAACUUCCAAACUCCCAAAUAUUAAUAAACCUACUGCCAUUAAUACAAGUAAAGAUUGAAAAACUAGUAAGUGUUAGGCUUUUGCCUAUGGCUCCUCAGUUUACUGUCGAAAAGCUGUAGCUAAUGUCUUAUUUCAUGAUUCUCUCCCACUCAGAGUUUUAGGUUUGCACGAUCUCACGAGAUAAAAUGACUAAACGGUAGCAUUUGGUUCGGGUAUAAGUAAGAACUAGUUAUUACAUGGAUAGGUAUAAACAUAAGGAUAAGAAAAAUAGCGUUUGGAUGAAAAUUGGGUUGUUUCGAAGGAUAAAAAAAAUAGCGUCUGGAUAGAUAAUAUGGAAUAAGAAAAAUAGUAGAUAGUUAUAUAUAGAAAAUGGAGGUGUUGGUGAGAAUAGUUAUACCAGAUUAUUUUAGAUAACCGAGAAUUACUAUUUUCAAAUAAAAAAUUUACGUUUGAAUAUAAAAGGGAAUAAGAAGUUAUCCCUCCCCUUAUCUCCAAUCCAAACACUGUCUUAGGGAUUGAAGCGCCUUGAGUUGCCAAUGACACCUUGGUUUCUAAUGCUUCAGUUCCCACACAGUACUGUGAUGCUUCGGCUCGUACAGUAACUUCUAAAAGGAUCUAAAAUUAUUAUAAUAUUUAAGAAAAACUUUAAAUACCUCCCUUGUGGGUUCACUUUUUUUCACUUUAGUACCCUGGGGUUUAAAGUGUAUCAAGUUAGUACUAUGUGGUUUUGCACUUUUUCACUUUAGUACCCUGUGGUUAAAGUGUAUCAAGUUAGUACCAUGUGGUUUCGCACUUUAUCACUUUAAUAUUCUAUGAUUUCGCACUUUAUCACUUUAGUACCAUGUGGUUUAAAAACCAUAAGGUACUAAUUUUAUACAAAAAUAAAACCACAUGAUACUAACUUGCUAUAAAAAUAAAACCACAGAGUACUAAUUUGAUACACUUUUAACCACAGGAUACUAAAGUGAUAAAAUGAGAAACCAUAGGAUACUAACUUGAUACGCUUUAAACCACAGGGUACUAAAAUGAAAAAGUGCAAAAUCAUGUGGCGGUUUUUGAAGUUUUUCCUAAUUUUUAAAUUUGUGUGACCGUCAAGAACUGACAUGUCUCAUGUCACAUCCUGGGAGUUUUGAACGUGGAUGCAUUGAGGAUUAGAACCUGAAUCAGGUAACCUAUCUCAAGCUAUUUAAUGGUCUUUAUUUCUCUGAAAAAUCCAUUAUUGUUAGUUGCUGGCACUAAAAUCCCCCACAUUAUUGGGUUGCCAAAUCAUUCCUCUUUUUUUUUUUUAAUAUUUUAUUUUUAAUAAAAGAAAAAAAUUAUACAAUUAAAAAAUGGGCUAAUUGCGUACAGAUUUCCGCAAACAUAAUGAAUUACAAAUAUAUCCAUUUUAAAUUGAACUUUCAUAAAUUAUUCUUGCAAAAGUCCUAAUUUUUUCAGAUAUGUCUCUCUGAUUUGUUACUGUUAAAAAAUUAUUUAUAUUUUCAAUUUUGCCAUCACAAAUAUGUCCCUUCAAAAAUUACAAUAGUAUAAUAUAAGAGGGGUAAAAAUAUAAUAUAAAAGUUGAACUUUACAGGAAUAUAUCUGUAAUUCAUUGUGUUUGAGGAACCCGUAUACAAUUGACCCUUAAAAAAUUAUGAAGACAGCUUUAUUUAAAGUGAAUCGGGUAUUCAAACAAGAAAUAAUUUAGAUCUAAAUGUUAAAAAGUAGGUGAAAUUAACAAAAUAUUAAAUUACAGAGUUUUCUUUUUUUCUUUUUUUUUUUAAGAAAAAAAAACUAAGAACAAAUAAAAACUGAAAAGUUGUACCCUGCCCAAUAAACUCUCACUUGGAUACUGCUAAAUAUAAAAAUAUUUAAACACCGUUCUACAGUAGCGACAGAUUCCUCCUCUCUCCUCUUCUGCUCCUUCGAUGAACUCGGCUAUUGCUGAAAGUUCAUACGUGGGCAGGCAGGGGGCCCCACUACUUCUUCAUUCAGGGGGGACUAGCCUCAUGACGUCCCACUGGGCGAGAGGUAGGGAUGCAAACGGGGCGGAUCUGGGGGCGGGAGACCCGCCCCGCCUCCCGCCCCGACUAGCAAAAAUCCGCCCCGCCUCCCGCCCCGAAUCCGUGACGGGUUAAAAAAUACAUCCCAUAAUCCGCCUCGCCUCGUAACCCGCCUCCCGCCGGCGCCCCGAAUCCGCCCCGCCAACUAAUAUUUUUUAUAAAAUUAUAAUAUUAUUAAUAUUUUGUAAAAUAUAAAUUAAUAAUUGUUAAUAAUAUUAUAUAUAUAAUUUAACAAUAUUAAUAGUAAAAAUUAAAAAUAUCAAUCACAAUUCAAAACAAAAUUCAAAUAUUUCAAAUACAUUAGAAAUGAGAGUAAUAACUUAUUUGUAUUUUAAACUUUUUUUAUAAAUAUAUUAUUUUUUGGGAAUAUUUUUUAAAAAUACAAAUGAUAUUCGGGGCGGAUUCGGGGCGGAUUCGGGGCGGGUCAAAAUUUUUCCCGUUUCCUGCCCCGAAUCCGUCUCGGAUCGUAAAACUUAUCCCGUUUCCUGCCCCGAAUCCGUUUAUUUUCUCCCAUUUACUGCUCCCGUCGGGGCGGAUCGGGGCGGGAGCUCCACCAACCCGGAUCCGUUUGCAUCCCUAGCGAGAGGUGUACCUAACUUAAGCUUUUAGAGUACAACAGUUGUUUCACAUGGUAUCACAGCAGAAAGUCCUGAAUUCGAGUUGCGCCAGACUCCUAGCAUAUUAAUUUUCCUCCCAUUUAAUUCAAGCCCACGUCAUGAGCCGAUUAAAAAGUCUCGAGCCCAGACGUGAGAGGGAGUGCUAAAUAUAAAAAUGUUUAAACACCGUUCUCUAACAGCUUAAGCUUUUAGAGUACAACGGUUGUUUCACAGACACUAAUAAAUUAUUUUGAAGUUAAUUUACAUUUUUAGUCCUUAAAUUAUAAGGCGAGUGGCAUUUUGAUCCUCCAAAUUAUAGUUUGUUGCAAUUUUUAUUUCAAAUUUAUUAAGUUAUUACACUUAAUAGUAAGUGACAGUGUUAUAGUUAAUUAAUUAUAUAAAAAUGACUAAAAUAUCACAUCAUUAUUAUAUAAGUGCCAAAUCGGCACCUUGUUAACUAAAUCAGAUUAUAGAAUUUAAUUGCAAUAAUUUAGAAACUUCGAGCAAAAAAUUAUAGUAAAUUAAAAUUUUGAGAACCCAAGGAUCACCUACCUCACAAUUUGAGGACCAAAACUAUAAUUUAUUUAUUUUUUAAAAUAUCAUUUUAGCAUAAAAUUAUUAUAUUGUCUUUAAUUAGAUUAUUUGCUAUAUUCUAUAUAAUAGUGAAACUAAAAUAAGUGCAACAUGCUUGCUCUAAUUUCUUCUUUUUUUUUUUCAGAGGGACCAAAUAUAAAAUAAAAAAUAAAUAUAAAAAAUUAUAAAAAUUAUUGAAUAUAAUUGGUAAGAAAUAUUGUGUAAGAAAAGAACAUGAAUCAUUUUGAAUUAAAAUUGUUUUCGACAUACUACUUUUAUAUUCUAAAAAUUAUAUAUGGUGGCAUUAUUAGAUAGGAUUAUUUUUACAUCCAAAAUGGAUGUAAGUUUUCAAAUUUUAUUUUUUAUAAAACUAAUUAGAUAUUAGAAAAUAAAAUCAACUAAGCUGAUUUUAAAUUAUUAGACUUUAAUAUAAUUUCAGCAAAAAGAAUCCAGCCUGUUUGAUUAAAAUCGGAUCGGUUUAUCAGAUCAUAGUUAGUUAAUUCGGAUUCGGCAAAAAUUCGGUACGGAUAUAAUUCGAAUAAAAUUUAUAUCUUAAUUUUUAAAUUCGUUGAAAAUUAUGGCUUAGUAAAUAGGUUCGACAAUUAUUCAGAUACACGAUUUAUGUAGAAAUUAUAUGCUCACUAAUUAAAAAUUCAGGAUCAUAAAUUCGGCUAUUAAACAAAAUUUUUUUCUUCAGAUUUAUCCUAUUAGUAUACAUAAUUAUAAAUUCUUAAGAAUAUAUAAAAAUAGAGAACUAUAAAAUAAACUAGAUUAAGUAAAAAAUUAAUAGCAAAUUUUAUUGUCAUCUCCAUCUUUAUCUUUUCUAUGAUCUACAUAGUCCGGAAAUUUAUAAAGUUUUUUAAUAAUUUGUAAAUAAUUCGGCAAUAAUUUGAAAAGAGAUUUUAUUUAAAAAAAUUUGCAUAUUUUUUUGGCCGAAUAGAUUAGAAUACGUGAAUUAUUUGUAAAUAAUAAAUUUAACCUAAAAAUUUGCAUUUUAUUUUAAUUUUUUUGGGAAUAAAUCGCAUUCGCAUUAUCUUAUUCUAAUUUUUAAUAAUUUAUAAAUAAUUCACGUAUUAACUAACUAUGUAAGAGAGUCAAUAAUUGAACUGCCCAUUCAAACAGUUUAAAAAAGUAUUUUUGACUUAUUUAGUUUAUAUAAUUGAAUUGGAACGUUCUAUAAACUAGAUUACAGUGGUAUAAAAAAGUAAAAAAAAAAGGGGAAACUUCAAAUACCCCCCUGUGGUUUCUCAUUUUCUCAUUUUAGUACUCUGUGAUUUACACUGUAUUAAUUUAGUACCUGUGGUUUCGCACUUUUUCACUUUAGUACCCUGUGGUUUCAAGUAUAUCAAGUUAGUUCUAUGGUUUUAUUUUUGUAUCAAGUUAGUACCCUGUAGUUUCAAUUUUUUCUUUUUAUUAUCCAUUUCGAGGUAUAUAAUUUAACUUAAUAUUAAGCCAUAUGGUAUUAAAGUGAGAAAGUGCGAAACCAAAGGGUACUAACUUGAUACACUUUAAACUACAGGGUACUAAAGUGAGAAAGUAUGAAACCACAUGGUACUAAUUUGAUACACUUUAAGGUACUAAUUUGAUACACUUUAAACCGUGGGAUCGUAAAGUGAGAAAGGACGAAACCACAGGAGCGUAUUUGAAGUUUUCCCAAAAAAUUGAAACGAAAAGGAAUGGCAAAACCCCGUAAUUUAGAAAAAAUGUGAGGGCAAUUUUCUAUCCACGCCUCAAUCUCCCUCCUCCCUCCACCCUCUUUAAAAACCCCAAAUCCCCCAAAUCACCUCUCUCCUCUCUCUCUUUCUCUCUCUCUCUCUCUCUCUCUCUCUCUCCCGAUGGAGUAGCCAUGGGCGGCGGCGGAGGCGGAGGCGGAGGCGGAGGCGGAGGCUGUGGGGGGCUGCGGCGGCGGCGGCGGAGGUAGGAGGAGCCGGAGCACGUGCGGAGGGCGCACGGGGGCUACUUCGGCGUCUUCGCGAAGCUCCUUGGCGACCACAACAAUGGCGCCGAAGACGAUGGUGAGGAGGAGGAGGAGGAGGGGGAGGUGUGGGUCGCGUAUAGGGCGGCGCGAGGGGAGCUCCCGCAGGAGGAGGAAGAGGAGGGUUACGAUGGGUUCGUGGUGACGGGGAGCUGCAGCGACGCCCACGGCGACGAUCCCUGGAUCACCGACCUCGUCCGCUUCCUCCAGAAGCUCAUCGCCUGCCGCAAGAAGGUGCUCGGCAUCUGCUUCGGCCACCAGGUACCUGCUCGACAAAAUGCCUCCUCCUCCUCCUCCUCCUCCUCCUCCUCUCUUUGGAGCGCAAAUGUACGCUCAAAACAUAGCUACCACGCCACGGUACAACAAGCAUGUCGAUGUACACAAAAAAUAGAAAAAAAGAAAAAAGAAAAAACUAAAAUGCUUAAUUAUGCGCGACACAUAAUAAUAUAAAAUAUUUAGGGCAAUUGCUUCGACCUAGUCUUCCAUAUUAUCAAAUUGCUUAGAGCUACGCCUUCGUGAUAUUAAGAUGUGACACUCUAAUAAUUUCGCAUCAAAUAAUUAUUACUAAGUGUGUAUAUAAGUUUGAUUAGAUUAGAUAUAAUAAUUGAGUUUGAACAUUAUAGGCCGUUAUUGCUAGUGGAUCGAAUUGUUACAAAAAAUAUUGAAAAAUUAUGAAAUUUAAUUUUUUAAUAGUUUCAAUAGUUUAGGCCAAAUCUAACAGUGCUGAUCGUUGAUUUGAAAAUCGUAUCAUCGAAAAUAAUUUAGUAGUGUGCUACCGAUAGUAUAGCUGCUGAACUCCAAUUGCUUGUAUAUAUUUUCUGUGAAAUUACUAUUUAUAUAACCUUCACAUUUUUCUUAUUUGACUUUUAAGUUAGUAAUAAAAAAGUAUUUUAAGUUUGUAAAUUUUUUGACCUUUCAAAUUUAUCUUUUUAUCGUCAUUAAUUUUUUUUGUAUGUUUCUUUUAAGUUAGGAAUAAAAUAAAAAAAGUAUUUUGAUUUUCUUUUCUUUAAAUUUUAAUAUAAAUUUAAUGGGAUUUAACCAAAGGUGACUUAACAUAACAAAUAGUGGGAAUAUUUUUGAAUAAUGAAAAAAUAUACGAAAAAUAUAUUUGAAAUAAAAAUAGCGAUAUAUAAAAUAUUUCAGAAAUUUUGAGAAAUAUAUAGAUAAUUAUUUUAAAAUAUAUAUAUAUUUUUUAACACUAACAUAUUCUAAUUAUUUAUAAUAUAUUUUUAUUUAAUUUUUUAUAUUUUUUAAAUAAAUAUUAGCUAAUUUUAAAACAUAUGAGAUUUUGAGCCAUGCGGGUAAAAAGUAAGUUUUUUUGUCACGUGGUCUCUGAAUUUUAAAGGCGUGUUCCAAUUUAAAAAUUUUUCGUCCAAAUUUUAGAUAAAUACUAUUUUUUUUUUACCGUUGUUUAAUUGAUAAAAAAUGAGUGGUUUUAAAAUUAUAAUAUAUUCUAUUUUUUAUUUAUUUUAUCAUAAUUUUUUAUAUCAGUAUAUAAAAGAGUAAAUAAAAAGUUACAGCAUUUAAUCUCGCCACCUAGAGCGAAGUUAAUUUAUAAGAUAAUAAAAUUACAAACGAAUUUAAUUGCCAUAAUACUAUAUAAUAAAUCAAAUAUAUAUUUACGGUGGAAACAAAAAAACUUCAUCCUUUUUAGUUUGUUUUUUUAUUGGUCAUACUUCUAAAUAUAGAGGGAAAAUUUCAAAUACCGCUCAUGUGGUUUCACACUUUCUUACUUUAGUAUCAUAUGGUUUAAAGUGUAUCAAUUUAGUGGUCAGUGGUUUUAUUUUUAUCUUUUUAUUAUCGAUUCCACCAAUUUUUUUUUCAUUAAAUCAGUGACAAGGUUAAAACUAAAGAAUACAUAUUUGAUAAAUCUAGAUGGAUAUUUGAAGUUUUAUAUAUUUAAUUUAACAAAAUAUUAACGAAAAAGUUGACGAAAAAAUAAAAAUGAAACCACAAGACACUAAUUUGAUACACUUUAAACCACAUGGUGGUAUUUGAAGUUUACCCAAAUAUAUAUAUUGUCCCUGACUUUGAUGUGACUCGACCUCAUAACCCUCCAUAGCUCUUAGCCAAUAGUCUCAUAUGCAUAAUAAAGUGCUACAAAAUGGUCCCAAUGGUCCCAAAGACUCAAUAGAUCAAAUCUUGUGAGAAUCAGUUUUGUGCAUGGUCCCAAAUGCUUCCUAGACCACACCAACAAGAGAUCCCAUAUUGUGUGAAAAGGAAUGCAUAUGUUUUAAGAUAAUGAUUUAUUUUACAGAUGGUUAUUAUUUUGUUAUAUGCUUCGAUCCUCAAACUUUAAUUUGUUAUAAGUUUUAGUUCAAACUUUUGAAAUAACUGUAAUUAAGUCCCAUAACCAGAUUUGUUAACUAGAUUUGUGUGACUAUAUAUUAAUAAAUGACCGAUGUAGAAAUGAUAUAGCAUCUUAAUUAGUAUCGUAUUAUCGCGACACAUCAAUGUUUUGUUGACUAAAUUGGGAUGUAGGAUUUAAUUGCACUAAUUCAGAAAAUUCAAGUCAGAAAUUAUAACAAAUUAAAGUUUGAGAAUUAAAGUAUCACACGCCUUAUAGUUCGAUGGCCAAAAAUGUAAAGAGAAAACUUUAAAUACCAUCCCUGUGAUUUCGCACUUUGUCACUUUAGUACUAUGUGGUUUAAAAUGUAUUACUUUCGUACCCUAUGGCUUCAUUUUUCUCUUUUUGUUAUCUCAUCUAUUAUUUUUUUUUGUUAAAGCAGUGACAAACUUGAAGUUAAAGGGUAGUAAAGUAAAUAUUCGACAAACCACAGGUGGGUUUCUGAAGUUUUUUGUAUAUAAUUUAACGAAAAGUUAACGGAAGGGCUGGCGAAAAGAGAAAAAUGAAACUAUAAGGUACUAAAUUGAUACACUUUAAAUUAUAGGAUAUUAAAGUAAAAAAGUGCGAAACCACAGGAAUAGUAUUUGAAGUUUAUCCAAAAAAAUGAAAAGUGCGGAUGCUCCUGUACAGUACAAAUGCCAACUGUUGGAUCAAAAUUAGUAGAAUUUUGGGGUCCAGUGUGGCCACAACAUCACAUGAUAUGGUUUCAUCUAAUAAUGGUGUUAUUUUGGGCUUGUAGUCGGGAAAAUUAAUGGAAUGUCUUGAUCGAAUGGAGCUAGAAUACUUUUAGAAGCACCAACCCUUGGUGCUUCUAAGUUUCUAGCCUUUAAAUUUACUCCUUUAUUACUAAUACCCCUUGGAUCAAGCACAAUCAUUCCAAUUUUACAUUUCUUCAUCCAAGGGUUAAAAACUUAAAAGCACCAACCUCUUGGUGCUUUUGAGAGUAUUCUAGUUCAACUCUGUCUUGAUCUCUAUCAUACAGAAGAAUUAUUAUUCUGUAAAUUUCUUAAUGGAAGAGUUCGUUCUUAUUUGACCUUGCUGUAAAGUAUAAUAUUGUUUAAUAUAAUACUUUUAGAGAAGUGCUUUUAGGAGAAAACUUUUCUGGCAAUAAUAGAAGCAUUAAAUUAGAAUUCCUACUUUUGAGGAUUGGAAUCUUAUGUAAGAUUUAUACUGCAACAGAAGUUUCAAAUAGUUUAAUUUAUCAAAUGCUCUACUAAAGAUAACUAUAGCUGAAAUCAGAAGCACGCGUGAUCAGGCUAAACAACCUUAUAAUAGGCUAUGCUAUUGCAUUAGCGAAAGUUUUAAUCCACCAUUACCAUAUAUAGGCAAACAAAUUUUCUCAAUUGCAUAAUCCUCAAAAGAUCUUCAAAUUAUGUGAUUGAUGUUUCCAUUUUACUAGUAGAGACUUCAGACUUUGUUUGUUUGGGUUUUUUUUUUUUUUUGGCUUUCUUGAAGUUUUUAUACCCUAACAAUUGUGACAGAUUCUAUGCCGGGCCUUAGGUGGGAAGACUGGCCGGGCCGCGAAUGGAUGGGACCUAGGAGUGACCUGCAUCCACCCCUCUCAUUCGACGAUCAAGCGGCUCUCCGUGCUCCACAUCCCCCCUCAUCUUCCGGUCAUUGAGUGCCACCGCGACGAGGUACAUCAAAACUGCUUUCCUAUAUUUGCUCUUCUGUGGCUCAACUACUGAAGUAACUUCUCUUAGCCGAGAAGCACAAACCGAGUUUUCAACUAGUAGUCGUGAAAAUUUUGAAUAUACCCAUCGAAGUUGUGACAAAUACGAACAAAAAUAUGAAUCACGGAAAGAGUAAGCAUGAGAUAGUCUCUAGCAAAAUAAUACGAGUUUUGCGCACAAAGUGCAGGUGUGGGAGGUGCCUCCGCAGGCAGAAGUAAUGGCUAGCUCGGAAAAGACCGGCGUCGAGAUGUUUCGAUACGGAGACCACAUUCUGGGCAUCCAGGGGCACCCUGAGUACACUAAGGACAUCCUCUUGCAUCUCCUCGACCGCCUUCUCCAAUGCAAACUUAUUCAGGUCAUACUCAAUAAAUGGUCUCCCUAAUUUACUACAAACUUAUAUGUUUCUUUUUUUUUUUUUUUUCCAAUGUAGGGCUUCACAGAGUUCCAUGAAUGUAGGCUAAAUGGGUUAUCAAACAAACUUUUCGUCACUUUAGACUUUUACUCGACGGUAUCUUUGAUUGAUGCUAGUUUCAGUAUUAUUGUAACUUCGCAUAAACUUUGAUUCAGAAAAAGGAAAAAAAAAAAAAAAAGAUUCACUAAACACUUUUAACUGAUCUGAGGAAAAGUUCCCGUUGCGAAAGCUACGCGAGUUGUACUCACCAAAGCUUAUCCUUACACUUGUAGCAUGUACUCUUCAUGAGGAUCCUAAACAGUUUUGAUGUUUUGUUGCAGAGUAGUCAUGCAGAAGCAGCAAAGGCAAGCUUAGAAGCGCAAAAGCCCGAUCGCGAGGCGUGGAAGAGGCUCUGCAAGGAAUUCCUCAAGGGGAAGUUGUUCUCGACACAAUAUAUUGUCGAAGAAGCUCAAAUUAGAAGCCGCCUCGGUUGAUUUCCCCAAUUUGUACAUAAACAUUUCAGCGAAGGGUCUGCGGGGUAAAGAAUAAUUUGGUUCAUAAUUGGUUAAUGUAUUUGUUGUUCUGCAGCAAUGGAUUUAGACAAUCCACAAUUUGAGGAUUUUCCUACAAUGAAAAACUUUAGCCUUUAUGGCUCGACUGCGUCACUCUAAAGCAAUUUUCGCAUUUGCAGGCCAACUAAAGAUUGACAGAAAAAGAUUUAUAAAGAUAAUCACAUAUUAUGCGACUGGAAUUAGGUUUGAAUCGAUGAACACAGACUCAAUCUGGUAAGGAUGGAACAAGAGAGAAAUCAAACUGCAUUGUAAACAUAGGGGCGGUUUUGGAUGCAGGGAUCUCACGCACGACAAACUCGCUCAGUCUAGCAGAGUGCAGGCACAGACAUAAGUAACACGAGCCGCAUAUGAUCAGUCAGUAACAGCCACAACUUCACAGAUGUAACAAGCUAUCGACUUCAACACCCGCCAGCACGAAGUCAAAGUCCAAGAAACAAACACAGCACCCUUGAUCCUGCAACCAACCUAGAACACUCACAGAUCAAAAUGGAAGAGAUUGAGGACGAUCACGAUUACGAUCAUUCUCGACUCUGAAGAAAGUUAACAGAGUAGGAAAUAAUCAAAGCAACUGAGUCGCCCGUCGUGGGCCAAAAAUGCAACUCACAUCAGAUUCAGAUUAAAACAAAUAGUGUUUGUUACUAGCCAAUCCCCGAAAACCAAACAGAACGCAUCUGCACAAAUUAAAUAUGCUAGUUUUCCUUUAAGAGAAGGAAAAAAAAUGAAAAGAAUAUUAAAUUGUUUUAACUUUCACACCACAAAAUGAAAAGAAAUGAAAAAAAAAAAAACCUAGAAGAAUAAACAAAAUUACCUCAUCUUCAGCUACAGGCGUGUGUAAUUACUUCAACAUUUUUAUCACACAUCGGGCAACCAUGAACAUUCUAUGACGCACACAAAAACAAGUGUAAUCAUGUCAAUUUUUUCGAGCAAUUUUUGCUACAUGUACCUACAAAUUGAACACGCUGAUCAUCCUUACAACGACAUACCAUAGUUCAGAUGGAUCACGCUCCUAUAUUACCAAGCCAGAAGAAAAGAGGGAUCUGCGCGAUCGCCAUGAACAGCAGCAGAUAGUGCUGCCUGCUGGAAUGCCGAUCGUAGCUCCUCAUCUCGGUGAACAGUACCCUCUUCAUGGUUUUCACCAGGAACAUCCCCAUGCAGAUACUCGUCCAAGGCAGCAAGAAGUAAUAGCAGUGACUCCACAAGAGCCUAGAUAUGAUGGAUAGGCAGACACCCGUGAACAAGUACCCGCCGUACGCCGCAAUGUCGAGCAGAGGUGCCUCCCCGCCGCCCAUCGAAUAGAGAAGUCCCUUCAGUAACGCGAUUUGUAUAAGCCAUCCAGCUAGUCCCCUCGUGAACUGUAGGCUUAGGGCUUCUGGACUGAACCUGCACAGAAACUUACGGAUUGUAGUGUUGAUGCGUCUCAUUUUUUAGGUACGAAGGGUCUGUUUGGCCCAGUUGGAGCUUCUGUAAUAGGGUUGCUCAAGAAGAAAUUUUCAAAGAAGCCCUUACAAUUUUUUAGUUUAUUGCUUAAAUACGAGCAGCUUCAAAUUGGAGCUUGUAAUCUUUCGGGUUAAAAAAGAGUUUCAGCUUCCCAUGGCCAGAAGCGCCAGGUUUAUUGUUCGCCAACCGCGUGGCUUUCUACCUCUCUAAAGUAGAAAAGUGACUCUGAAAUCCAGGCCAAACAGACAUUUAUUCUAUGGUGCAGUUUAAUAACUUACUUUCCCAAGAAACCUAGGGAGAAGCCCGCAAGAAUAACAUAAGUACCAAACGCCAUGAAAGGGAUGUACAGGUCUGGAGCAUUUAUGUCAUAAAUUGGAGGUUUAUAAGAGAGCCUUCCUCCAACAGGCUCAGUUAUCCUCGUCCAGUGCCCCUGAGAAUAAAUUUUAAAAAAAUGUUUUUCUUGGGCUUUGGUUGGAGAGGAACGCAUUGGAACAGAUCGUAGUUAUCAAAGGAAAGGUUGGUCUACCUUAUGUAGGAACGGAAACAAAACCACUUUCAACUUGUUCCGCACAUAUUGAUCGUUCACUUGAAAAUAAUACUGAGGGUUGGAGAAGUAUGUGCUAAUCUGUUCACCAGAGCAUAGAAAUAAGAAAAUGGUUCAAUUCUAAAAAAGGAAAAAAAAAAUAGUAAACAGAACCACAUACUGAGGCAAUAAGAUUCCAAAUUGCACAAUUAUGAAAUAAAAUUAAUGGCUAACUUCACUACUUGCACUCCACCGCUCUAAAAUAUAAAAACCUACAUUUAACUCCCUCAAUGUUUAGUAUAUUAGCACUCCAUCCUCUUCUACUCAAAUUUUCCACUCAAGUUCUGUUAGAAAGUUUUAGACUCCAGAUGGCGUAUAAUGGGUAUUUCAGAUCAUAUUUUUAACUUAGACUAACAAACACCUCCGAACUAAAAAUGUAAAAGAAAGCGAUUAAGUGCUAAAGGCCUAAACAACACUAAGGAUAUUAAAUGUAUAAUCUUAUAUCAAAGACGGGCAGAUUGCAAAUGGCAGUAUUUCAAAGGGAAAUAAAAGCCAUUUUGCAGACCACUUCAUCUUUUUUUUUCUUUUUCCAAUUUGAUCAACUUCUUUCAUAUUUUCCCAUAUAUGAGCACAUAUAUCUUUUCACAGACUGAAUUAACCCUAUGUGACGCCCCAACUUCCCAGGGUGUCACCCAUCCUAAGACUACUCUAGUUCUAGCACGCUUAACUCUCUUAACCUUUUGGACUUAGCCGCCGCCCAAAAUGCUAUAACCGGAUUAAGAGUUUUAGCCCUAUCUUAUAUAUAGGAUUACCUGAGGUCUCAUAUUCUCCACCCCUUUAAACCCUAAUAUCCUCGUCAGGUUCAGACUCACAAGUACUAGGCGAUGUGAGACUCAUCUCGCUAGCCUUAACGGCUUAACCGAUCUUGUAGGAGAGUAGUGUUCUACCCAUACCAGUCAUCAGCAUGAGAGUCUCAUUCUCCCCACUGUAUAACCUGGCUCGGCCGAAAUUCAUCUCACACUUCCGGCUGGUAAUUAGCUCUGAUACCAACCGUGACGCCCCAACUUUCCAGGGGUCAUCCAUCCUAAGACUACUCUAGCCCUAACACGAUUAACUCUUUUAACCUUUUUAGCCUAAACACUGCCCAAAAUGCUAUAGUUGGAUUUAGAAUUUUAGUCCUAUUAUAUCUUAUAUAUAUAGGACUACAGACUACCUGGAGUCUCACAACCCUAACUACAGUUAUAGAGUGCAUAAAUUAAUCACAGCAUUAACCAAGGACAUUGAAGCCCUUGAAAAGACAAUUUGAACAUAAAGGAAAACAUGAGAAAAAUAGAAAAUAAUUUCAAAAUCAAUAAAAUGGCAGAUUAUUUUUUGUAAAAACCCAAAAAUUAAAAUAAACAAUAGUAUAUUACUUUCCAGAUUAUUUUUGCAAAAAUCCAAAAGUUAACAUAAACACUGGGAUAUUAAUUUUAUGCAUCUCUAAUCACAUAUUACUUACAUUGCUUUGCAUGAACUCGGAGCUCGAACCCAACCAUUUUUCUCCAUAUGCUCCCAAGCCAGUUCUAAUGAAACCUGACCCUGCACCAUAAAAUGCAUUGCCAAAUGGGUUUGGUUGAGGAGCUGUUGGGGGUCUCUGCACCCCAGCCUGAUUGCCCAGAUUAUCAUACAUUGCUGGAACAAGAAUUACUGUGCUUCAGAUUGCAAUUCAAGCCACUAAAGAAAUUAUCUGACUAAAAAACCAUGAAAGUUUAACUAAUAAUUCAAUAGAAACUUGGACAUUCUAUACUCCAGAUUUUCAUAAAGUGGCUGUCUAACAAUAAAGGUGCUCGAUUUCUGAAUAGACAAAUAAAAUGAGAGAGAAAGAACAAGGGCAAGGAUCUUUUUAUGCACUGGGUAAUGGUACAGUGCCUGUCUAACAGUAGCUGGGAUAGAUAUUUUAGAUGAAACAUCAUAAAAUCAUAUCUGGAGCAAAUAAGUGUCCUCUUGAGCUCGAUGGACAAUUAAACAUUGGAAUAAUUUGUAGGUUCAGAAUCCAGAGCCCUCUUUUGGAGAAACUUUGGCUGAUAAAGAUGUCUGAUCAGCUUGCAAGUACAUGCCACAUGAGGCAAACUAAGUCGUUAGUUAAAGCAGAUAGCAUCAAAAUUUCAAUCCCAUGCACAUAACAUGCUAGUUCUUUCUACUUAAGCUAUGGUUUCCUUAGCCAUAGUUUGAAAUUUACAACACAAAGGCCUUGUUUGAUAUGGUUCCUUUUUUUUUUUCCUUAAAUAAAAUCCAUGUAACAGAAUGUGCGAGUGGAUGUGAAGUGCUUGAUGGUUAAGUCCACACAUCUAAGAGGUUUGUUUGGCAGCAAAAAACAUAAACUUGGUAGUAACCGUCUUUUAACUCUGUUUUUUCAAACAAGAUGCCUUUUCUCAUUCUACCUUGUUGCAUUAAAAGCCAACUGCCAGCCAAUGAUGACAAGAGUAGAGAGUGUAACCAUCUAUAAUUUCAUUUAUAGAGGAAAAAAAGAAAACCUAAAUGAGGCCUAAAUUGUAUAUAAAAAUUCUCUCAAAUCUACAAGAAAUAAUAACAAACAACCACCAACUAACUUUAGUCCGGGAGCACUUAAAUUCCAACUUUAAAGCACAAAAGCACCCUUUAAUAAAAUAAUAUUUAGGCAUCAAGCGCAAAUAUACAAAUGAUCAACAAUCAACUCAGGACAUACUAUAGAGAAGACAUAAGCCAUCACCAUAUCCGUAUGUGCCAAGAAUAAUGGUCACCAUAAUCAUACAUCCCUAUACCGGAUAGACCACUAAUAGCCCAAUAAUUUGUCCAAAAAACCAAGAGAGUAACAUGACAAAAACUGGCUCCCAAAAGUUCAUAGUGGGCUGUCAGCCAAAAUAUAGUUUAUUUGUUCUGGAAAAGUCUGAGUGCAGUCCGAUCUAGCCUUAGAAAAGAUUCUCGCAUGGCUAGUUCCAUCUUCCUUAGGUAUAAAACUUAAUCGUUCUUUCCUGAUCCAGGAUGGGUAAACUUAAGGCAAUACUUAAUAUAUAUAAUUCCAGUCUUAAUUCAGCUUCAAUUGGGUCAUUAAACUGAAUAUGUCGAUGAAUUGAGUCAAUGAGGUUCACAAACCUGUUAAGGUAUUCCAUUCGAAUUGUAAUCAGUUUCGAACUGAAUGGCUUGAGUCAAUAUAGGUUCUAUUCAUUUGGCCCAUCACUUCUUUGGCACAUAUAAAAAUUAUUACCCUUGAAUCUUAUGGUCACGACCCCUCAUAAGCUCUGGUUGUCUAUAGUCAAUCCCAUGGAAGAACCCAAACCUAUCAUGCACCACAGUUCUUAAAAUAGUGAAGCCAUAAUACCGUAGAAAAUCCGAAUAAAUCGACCAACACAUAUCACCAAUAUAGAACUUGUGCAUUGACAAUUCUUGGAUAAAUCAUAGAUCUCAUCUGACACAUGUUGACAACAAUAAAAAAUUUACCAAAUCUAAGAAAGAUGAAACAACUUUGCAGUGUUUUACAGAGAUCUUGGAGGCAUGUGCCAUCUCAAACUAAGAGUAUUGAUUUGAAGAAAAAAAAUAUAUAAGAAAACAUUAAAAGUUGAGCAAAUCAACAGACAAAUUAUUGUAACCCUACUCCAACAAAGGAGAAAAGCAAACACGUUAUAAGGAUGCAACUCCUUGAUGAUAAAUGUAUCAAUUGCUUCUCAAGGGUGGAUGAUUUAGAACAGUUACUUCUUAGGUAAUGGAGAUUUGCUACAGACAUCACCAAGAUCUAGCCAAACUAGGUAAUAUUUCCUACUCUCAUUGUAGGGAUAAUAGUCAACCAAGAACUCAAGCAAGCACUAAAGCAAGCUCAAUCCAGUUUCCAGAGGCUUGACUUGAUCACAUAAUUAAUGAGUUUGGCAGUUUCUAACUUUAUAUUAACAACUUGAGGGCCAUAACAACUUAAGGGACAUAAUCAGCUAGAAUCCCUCUCUAAUAGAUGCAAAAGAAUAAAAAUUAUUUACUAGCUAAGCUGUCGCAAAUUUGAAUCAUAUCAGGACUCAAUUUUCAGUUAAGAUUUGUAUGAGAAUCCAUCACAUUUCUAUAAAAGGCUGUAGCAAACAAAUAGAACUGCUCUUAGUCUCCAUUCUUUGACAAUAAAGACAGUUUGCAAUCAACAAAGAUCCUAAAAUAUUGCACUUCAUCUAUUAUGAAUUAUUGCACUAGAACACCAGACAGGCAGGAGAGGCAUCCCUUGGCCAUAAAAUAUCAUCAAGUAGACCCAUCAAACACUUUCUUCCCUUAGCCACUAUUAAAGAAAAGGUACAGGUACUAGCCACUAUUAAAGAAAAGGUACAGGUACUAGCUUGGAGUUUUAGACCACUAUCAAAGAAGAGUAGAGAAUUGCACGUAUAAAAAUUCAAAAAAAUAGAUUUGAUCCAAGUCAAAAUUUAUAUUGGAUUCCCAAAAUUAUUAAUAAAGGGGCAAACACGAAGAAUCUAUGAAUUACAGAUGAAUGUACAAAAGAAGUUUCAUUCCGUAAACUGAAGACUCAGUAUUGCUAUAACAAGAGUUGAAAAACCUUAUAGAUAACCUAAUAUUCUUGCAAAAUAUAUAGCUUUAUAAUAAAAAAAUAGAGUUUCGUUUCAGAAAACAAUGAAAAAAGAUAUUGAAUUAACAAAACAAACAAAUACAAAAGGAAUUCAAGUGCAAAUAGCAGGCCAUAUCGACGAAAAGCAGUGCUAAAGCAUCUGGGUUCAAGUCCAAGUGGCAGCAUCUUCUAAAAUAGAUACCAAAGAUCCUAAAAUGUAUUCAAUACCCGAUUUCCAAUUCUGUAAUGAGACACAUUCUAUAAUGAUCAUCCUUAAUCCUUAAUUGUCACGAUAGACAAUCAUCAAUGAAAACAUGAGUACCCGGUAUUAAAGAAAAUAAAAAAAAACACUAUCCAAGAAGCCAAUUUAUGCCACUAGCCUAAAAAACUCAAUUGUCAUGACUAAUUAGGCGAAUUAGUUCAUAUUCUACAGGGAAAUGCUCAAGUUGAAACGCUACAUGAGCUUCCCAAAUCCCUCCAACCUCUAGUAAUUGAACUAUUGAGAAUUCUACCAACAGCCACUCUCAAUCAAUACUACCCAAUGUUUGUUAGUUCACUAUCUUUCAAUUUAAUACCAAAGCAUAAUCUUUUAUCUGAAAAGAUCUUUCGAAUUUUAAGACUAGCUAUCGAUGUGGAAUCAAUCCUUCAAGAAAGGUGCAAAAUACUCGACAAAAUCACGACCAAUACAAACAGCUUAGGAUAUAAAUACAAUUAGGGUAUAUAUAUGUAUCCUUUCAUAGCUUAAACACAUGGAACCCAAAAUCAAUCCUCCAGAAGCUUAGCAACAUAUAAAUGGAUUACGCCAAUUCGUCACAAAUUGGAGUUGAUUGCAUGAAUAAAUCUAAAAAGCAAGUCAACAAACAGAACAUAUGUAAACAUAAGAUUGUGCCACGCCUUCAUAAUUAGCUCAAAUUUCACUUGUUUGAUAGAUGUGGAGAAGUGCAACACCUCGAUAGAGAACUGAAGUUAUUAACUUUCCAUUCAAAGGGACAUUUUUCCGUAUGCCAACUUGCCAACUUCUUCGACACGCAACCAAACCCAGAAUUUUUCGUGAUCAAAAUUAAUCAUUAACUCAAUUCUCUUCUCAGCCACCACACUUCGUAGACACACGAACAACCCCAGCAACCAAAACUCGAUAAUUUUUUGCGGAUUCAACAUCACAAACAUCACAAACCAAACCCUAACAGGAACAAUUUAACCCUAGAACAUACUCCACAAAUAGCCGAUAAUCAUAAGAUUAUAGAACCUGGAAACCUUAUAUUACGUCAGAAAGAAAGGGAAUCAAGAAGAACCGCAACAGCACUAGUAACCCGAAACAAUAGCGCACACACCAAAGCUCCGGGCUCAUAAGAGUCGAUCACAAACCCUAGCAAUCGAGUUCUGAAAAGGAAAACCUAGAGAGAGAGAGAGAGAGAGAGAGAGAGAGAGAGAUUAGGGCAACGAGGACAGAGAGGAGGAGAAGGGAGCUUACUUUUGAGGUCGAUUAGGGUUUGCGUUCGAGGGAGGCGUCGCCGCAGAGAGAGAGAGAGGGAGAGAGAGAGAGAGAGAGAGAGAGAUUCCCAGAACUAACGAGGAGGACGAACCCGUGGCUCGGGAUGUGGACUAGCCGGAUUCGGAUCGGAUUUAAAAAACUCGAGCCCCAACCCGACUCCACAUCCGAAACCUGAAUUCGAACCUUCGGAUUUAAAAUAUCCAUAUCCAAACUCAAUUCCGACGAAAAAAUUCAAAACCCAAACCCAGAUCCGAAGCAGAAACAAUUAUUUCUCUUUUCAAUAUUUCAAAAUAAAUUAUAUUAAAUCUAAAUUUUUAAAAUAUAAUUCAAAUAUAACAUCAAAUUUUUAUAUACAUAUUAUAGAUAAUGUAAAAUAAAUUCGGAUUCGAAUCGGGUUCAGGUCAGGUUUGGUUAAAAUCCAUAUUCGAAUCCAUAUUCAUUGGAUUUUUGUUUUUGAUAUUCAUAUCUGUUUAGUAUCAAAGAAAUUCACUUCAUUCGGAUUCGGAUUCGGAUAAAAUUUCGGGUAUCGGUACCCUUUGACAUCCCUACCCGUGGGGGUUAGGUGUAAAAGCGGCCGGGAGGCCCUUGUCCCACCUGGCCCGGCACGACUUGGGCCGGGCCGAAAAAUCUUUUCCACGCGGCCUGGUUUAAUGCACCGGGCCGUGCUGGGCCUUCUCCUAUUGGGCCGUUGGCCCAGCACGUUUUGUAUGGCUAAUAAAUUUUUCGCUAACCGACCAUCCCUAGAGUAAGUGGCAAAGGACUUGGUGAUUGGUAUCCGAGACCCAAGUUCGAAUCCUAAUUGAUUCACAUUUCUAGCUAAGUUUAUUUCUAAAUGAAAUAAAUAAAGCGGGUAGCGUGCUACCUAUCUCUCAAAAAAUAAAUAAAUAAAUAAAUUUUUCGCUACUCCAUAAUAUUGAAUUAACGGUUUAGAGGAAACCCAAUAAGAGAGAAUUAUUAGUUGCUCCUAAAUCACCGUUUUUUUCCCAAGUAAAAUUGCAUAUUUUUAAUAGAAAAGUUGUUUAAGAAGCCGCAGCAAACAGAGACAAGUAAAGAAGAAUGAGUGGAGUUUAUCUUAGGGCAUAUUUGUUUACGUGAAAGUGAAGAAGGGUGAAGUUGGUUUUGACCGUAAACGAUCACUUCUGCUAUUUUGUUCACCGUAAUAGAGAUACAGUUGAAACUUGAAUUAUUCGAAACAACUAAUUGACUUGUCACAGGUUCAAAGCCCUUUUCUUGAAAAGCCUAUGUGGCGCUCGUCCGUCACCUGCACGAACGAGCUAGCCAAUCCGUCCCCAGGCACAAUUUCGCAAUUUGGCAGCGACCGGAGUAAAGAAAACGGCACACAAUGGGUCCUACAAAUUGGCACAAACAAUAAGUAUUUUAUUGAUAACGAAAAAAUGGACUACAAUCGAAAGGCAUACGACUUGACUUGGUCGGACAUGACCGAUGAGGGCAAAAUGAACACUAAGAUACUCUGCAUAGGUGAAGAAAAAAAUAAUAAAGUAAUAUAUAAUGAGUAAAUCUAGUUAUAUUCAAAUAUAUAUGUAAUUAUGAUACUAAUUACUCUUUUAUUUAAUUUGCAUAUUUAAAAUAUGAUAAAAAAAUUGAUUAGUUAAAUUUUAGUAUUUCUUUAAUUUAGUUUUGUACAUUUAAAAUAUGAUAAAAAUUGAUUAGGUAAGUAUUAAUAUUUUUUUACUUUAUAAUUUAAUUGUUGUAUAAUUAUAAUAUAUAUGUAUAAUUAUAAUAUUUCUUUAAUUGAUUAGGUAAAUUAAAUUUUUUAAUUGUAUAGAAACAUAAUUAUAUUAUUUUUAUUUAUUAUAUUAUAAACUAUUAGUUAUUUAUUAUUCGUACAUAAAUUAUAAUUUACAUCAUGCAUUCCUUGUUAAAUAAACAGCAGAAGAGAAGUAAUUUUCACUGAACUCCAUUUCAACCCAAAAUGCAGUCUCGAUGAAACAAAUAUGUCCUUACUGUCGAACUUCACUAUACACUGCACAUGACAAAACUGCGGUCUAAUUCAUAGUUGUGGAAAAUAAUAAUAAUAAUUAUAUAUUCUUCUUCAUAAACCCUUAAGUAAACAUAACAAACUAGAAAGAAUGUUGACUUAAUUACUUUUCAAGUUCUACUCCUUCUCAUGUAGUUUACUUAAGAAGGAUAACAUUUAUAUGCAUAUAGAAAUGAAUUAAUGUGUGUCAAGCAUAUUCAAGAUGUUGAAACUAAGAGAAGUUUUAAGCUAACUGCAUUAUCUGAUUCAAAUAUUCUUUCUACAUAUGUCUGCUCAAAGUGACCGUAGUUGUGCCGAAAAUGACUUCUCCAGGAAGCUGAAGCAGUUUGAAGUUUCAUAGCCUUUGAGUAUUAUAUGUUGUCUCCCAGAAGCUGCUUACUGAUUGAUUCCCUGCUUUGUAAGGAGCCUUAUUUCAAAGGUGGCCGUUGGAAUCCGAAGCUCACGUGUUUGUGAAUGGUAUCGCGAUUCUAAUAAGUGUAGCGGCCACUUGUGGGCAUUAUCUGGAAGAUCGAUUUCAUAUAUUAAGAGCAUUGGAAAAUAUAAAGUCGUAGUACUGAUGCUCAUUUGCGUAUAUGGUGUAUAUGUUAAACCGUAUUUAUAUUAAAAUCGUAUCUUCUUCUAUAAUUUCUGGUUUUCGUGGACAGAUCAUAGACGUUGAUUCUUUCUUGUGAUUCUUUCUCGUUCACAAUCUGCAAAAAAAAAAGCAUCUAUUCCUUUAUCCCCCCAGAGAUGUAAACAGUCAUAGGAAUGAAAUUGGGAUUGUAGUUAGACCGGAAUUCCGGUUAUAUAAUAUAUAUAUAUAUAACUAGACUAUUAUACUAUUAAUAAUAUCAAAUUAUUAGUGCUAUUAGACUUUCGGCCCUGUUGGAUGAAGGGAUAUGCGGUUAGGAUGAUAGUGAUCCUUUAAGGUUGAGUGAAUGGUUGGUUAAAUAGUAUAAUCUAACAGAUAAAAAUGGUCAAAGAAAUAAAUCUAAUGGUGAAAAUUUUGUAGCAUCAAGUGUUUAGAAUUAUUAGAAGCACCCAAGCCGGACUCUCUGUCUCUGUCUCCCCCUCUCUCUCUCUAUAUAUAUAUAUAUAAAAGGAUAUUUUAAUCAUGUUAGCCCAUCACAAACGUGUUCAGAUACAUCAUAAUCGUUGGAUCGACUAUAUCCUUGGAAUCGCCUAAAAAUAAAUUACGUUGGUCACAUCCAAUAUCGUAGAGAUUAGGUGAAGCGAGGGCUUUAAAAUGGACUAACUUGCAUAUGGAUGUGGAAAAUUGCACGCUUAAUAAUCAGAAAACUGAUCGAUCUGGUUGGAAACAAUUCAAAAUUAGUCUCAAUUGCUGGCAUUUUAAUUUCUUGGAUGGAAUUUGGACAUAAUAUUAUUGCAUUUACUUAUCAAAUUUUUGUUCCGUGAGUUUCUAACAUUUUUCCAUGAGUAGAAUUUUUUUUUUUUUUUUUUGAGAGAAAGGUAGCAAGCUACCUGCUUCAUUCAUUAGGCAAAAUGAACUUGGCUUACAAAGUGAAGGCAGCCAGGGCCUCCUAAAGGAAACCAAAAAACAAUAAACAAAGCAAAAAACGCAAAUAACCACGGUGUACCAACGAAAACAACAAAAUAAACGACCAUGUACAGAUUAGCUAGGUACGAAGGAUCAACUCAGGUAUCGCGGUGUUGGAAGACCAAUCACCGGCUAGGGAACGUCGGUCCAUGCUUUGAUCAAUGCUUCAACCCGCUCUAGGGCCCGGAUAGCGUCUGGACUCGUCUCGUGGAAGACACUUUUGUUUCUCUCCGUCCAUACCACCCACCAGAUUGCCACCAACCGUGUUAGCCUCCGUCUUCUAACCUCGACAUUGGGUAAGUUAGCUGUCUGUGACCAUAAGCUUCUAACAUCCCCGAUGAGUGGUUCUGUAUAAACCGAACCCCCCGCGCAAAGAAUGAGAUAUCUGGCCAGAACACACUCCUUGAAAAGGUGAUCACAAGUUUCUGGUAGUGCUGCACAGAACAUACACAGCGGAUCCCCCUGGCACCCUCGACGGAUCAAUCUAUCCGCAAUCAGUAAUCGUUUACGGAUUAAGAUCCAAACGAAAAUUUUGAUUUUGGCCGGAAAGUUUAACUCCCAUAGGUGGUCAAAAGUCGGGUCUCUCAGACCUGCGUCGGUGAUGAAGUCAUAAAGGGAUUUAACUGAAAAUAAUUGGUUGGAAGUCCAUCUCCAGCUUAUCUUAUCUGGUGUGUCCGUUGGACUGUAUAGCGAAAGUAAAUUUCUGAGCGCCCUGACUUGUUGUUGACUAUCGAUGUCAGUAUAUGUUGCUAGACCUCUGGUUAUAAAUCGCCAACGCCACCCUUUUUCGUUCCAGCAUUGUGCGACUGUGACCUAGUUGUUCACAAUUCUGGAAUAGAUUCCGGAGAACCGAGUUCUCAGAGGGGUUUCGUCAAUCCAAAUAUCCGACCACAGCUUUAUAUUUUUCCCGUCUCCGAGUUUAUAUGAAACACCACAUUUGAAGACCUCUCGGCAACUCAUCACACUUCUCCACCAUUGGGAGUAAGGUCCGAAGGCUCUUCCUUCACGUAACGGCCUUCUUCUCGGGUAAUAUAAAGUCGUGAUUAACCUCCCCCCAAGUUAGCUGCGGCUCUUUAAAAAAGCGCCACCACCAUUUGGUUAGGAGUGCCAUAUUCAUAGCUUCUAUGUCUUUGAUCCCCAAACCCCCUUCCUUUUUGCUUUUGCAGAUCGACUUCCAAGCGAUCAGGCAUGAACCUCCGGAGAUUUUGGCGCACCCUUUCCAAAAGAAGGAUCUUCUUAGGGCUUCGAUGCGUUUAAGGACCCAUUGUGGCGCUUUGAAGAUAGCAAAGUAGAAUAGGGGUAUAUUUGUGAGGACCGAGUUUACCAGAGUGAUUCUUCCCCCAUAAGAUAGUAGCUUUGCCUUCCAACCUUCAAUGCGCUCCUCUAUAUGAUUUACAAUUGGAUCCCAGUCAACCCUUCGGAGGGGGUUGGUGUGGAGCGGCAAUCCCAGAUAGCGGAAGGGUAGACUACCUACUUUGCACCCCAAAAUCUCUGCAAGUCUCGUUGCUCUACUCGAAUUGUGGCCGACGUAGUGAAGUUCCGUUUUGUUCGUAUUUAUCUUGAGGCCCGAGGCCCAUUCAAAUAACUUCCAAAUGAACAGCAAGUUUCGCAUAGCCGACUUCUUUGGCUCCAAAAAGAAUAAAGUGUCGUCCGCGUAUGGCAGGAUCACAGUUUGACAGUCAGUAGUUGGCCCUAUCCCUUUGAGCAGACUGUUACCCCUGGCUGUUUCGGUGAUCCUAGCCAGGCAAUCUGCCACUAAGAUGAAUAAAUAUGGGGAGAGCGGGUCCCCCUGUCUAAGUCCCUUCCUUGUUUUCAGCCAUGUUGUUGGCGAGUCAUUUACUAAGAUGGCGAGUUUAGCAUUACAGAUACAUUAUUCCAUCCAGGACCACCAUUUUUCGCUGAACCCAAGCCAACGUAGUAUGUUUUUCAGAAACGACCAUCUAACAUUGUCAUAAGUUUUCUCGAAGUCUACCUUAAUGCUGACACACUCCUUAUCUGACUUUAAACUCCAUGAGUAGAAUUUUAGAACAAUGAUGGUGCAAAACUAAGUAGAAAAAUGCAUCUGCCAAGUCCUCGAAAUUGACUAUGGAAGUGAAAAAUUGAUUACUAAUAUAAGAUAAAUUGAAUGAUGAAGCAAUAUGUGAGAUUUAUUCCACUUUUGUGAUUCAUCCUCAACAACUUGGCCUCAAAGUUUCCUUGUUAGUGCACAAAGCAAUUAAAGAAACUAAUCAAUUGACAAUUUUUUUGUUAUGUUAUAUCAUUGUUAUCUGCCUAGGUAAAUUUUGUAUCUUGCCGCAUUGCCAGUAAGAAAAGUUUGUUCAAUUAGAAAGCAACAAGAGGUCAAAAUAUAUAGUAUUUUCCGAGUUUUCCGCCGUUAGAUUUUACCUUUCGAUUAUUUUCACUCAUUAUAUUAUACUAUUUAACCAAUAAUGUCACUCAACCCUAGGGGGCCCACAUCAUCUUAUCCAUAUAUUUCUUCAUCCAAGAGCCGAAAACCUAAUAGGACCAACAACUUUGUGGUAUUGAUAGUAUUCCAGUUUAGUUAUAUAUAUAUAUAUAUAUAUAUAUAUAGACUUCGGCUACGGUGCUUAUAAAAGCACCAAGCACUUGGUACUUGUAAAUUUUUUAUCGUUAGAUAUACGCCUUUGAUCAUUUUCAACUGUUAUAUUAUACUAUUCAACCAACCACCCACUCAAUCUUAGAGGGCCCAUAUCAUCCUAACCGCACAUCUCUUAAUUUAAUGGCCAAAAAUCUACAAGCACCAAUAACUUGGUACUUUUAAAAGUAUAGGAGCUCAAUUAUAUAUAUAUAUAUAUAUAAUAUAUAUAUAUGUGCGACAGGGUUGUUGUGUCAAAAGGAGCAUGGAGGCCUCCGUCUCUUGAGCCAUUUUCGAUGAUAGAAUUUUCGAAUCGACGAUCGCUCCGUUAGACUUGAUUUAGCGCAUUUGAAGUUUCUAGAAAAUAAUUUUUGCGAUUUUUUGAUAUCAUUUACCUAGUGACUGAAGAAUUCAAAAUCCAUAAUUUUUAAUGAUUGAUAUCUGUCGUUUUCAAGUUUAACGGUUUAGAAGUAUUCAAAUCAGAUGAAAUUUUGAUACAAAAUUUUUAUACUAUCUACAACAAGAUCAAUAUUUCUGAUCGAAAUUUUAGUGCUAUAUCACCACGUUUUAUAGGAUUUUUAUUUUCAGUCGUUAAAAAUUAUUGAUUUUGAAUCCUUUCGAUUGCUAGAUAAAUAAUAUCAAAAAAUUACAAAAAUUAUUUCUCGAAACUUCAAAUACGAUAUAUCAAGUUUAACGGAGCCGAUCGUCGAUUCGGAAAUUCCAUCAUCGAAAACGGCUCAGGAGCACGAAGGCCUCCGUGCUCUUGAGAGCACAACAGUCCUACUAUAUAUAUAUAUAAUUAUAAUAUAUAUAUAUAUAUAUAUAUAUAUAUAUAUAUAUAUAUAUUAUAUAUAUAUAUAUAUAUAUAUAUAAAUAUAUUAUAUAUAUAUAUAUAUAUAUGUAUAUGUUGUCCUUAUAAAAGUUCUAAUAUUUUCAAAUAUAUCCCUGCCGUUAAAAUCCGUUAGAAAACUUUAAUUAACCAUAGGUUAAAUAUUAAACCCUGAAUACUUUGUGAAAUAACUUGAUAUUUUUGCCCCUUUUAUAUUAUACUGUUGUGGUUUUUGGAAGAACAUAUAUUUGUGAUGACAAAAUUGACAUUUCACUUAAAAUAUAAACAAUUCUACAACGGUAAUAAACCAGAGGAGCAUAUUUAAAAAUAUUAGAACUUUUGUACAAAUAAUAUAUAAAAAUUAAAUUUUGUAUGAAUAUAUAUUUAUAAUUCAGUAUGUUUGCAAGGACGGCAUUUAACCCAAUUUUCUAUAUAUGACACACACAUGUCUAUCCACGUUACUUCACUAGCCCCAUCAAACAUUCCUGUCAUUAAUUAAAAUUUGUUAUUUUGCAUGUAAUUUAAUGAAUUAAUGCAAUAAAAAGUUGGAAAAAGGCAAAACUCUAUUUUGUUUUUUCCUUCAUGUGCUUUUAAUCAUCACUAAAAUGCGACGAUAUAUAUAUAAUGCAUUAGGACAAACAUCAAACUUUGAAAUCACCGACAAUAAAGCGAUUCCAUGUUCAUUGUGGAUCUUUGAAUGACUACAUUCAAGCCCUGGUGAGUUUUCUACGAACUAUAGGACGAGAAAAGAAUUAAAAUCUUUGAAAAAUAAUUAAACAUUAAUAAUUAAUUAAUUAAAGAGCAUUUGAUUAUUCUACCUGGUAACUUCCUAAGUUGUGUCAUAAUAUUACAAUGGAAUUAUAGCACUAUUUUAUGGUUAUCAGAGUUGAUCCUAAGCUCACUUUGAUAAACUAGUUUGUGGAUAUAAUUCCCCAUGUAUGAUGUGUAAUAGGUUUAAGUCCAUAUUUUUUUUACAUAUUCUCCCGUACUAUUACACAUUCAUGAUUUAUCUGAUACCUAUCAUGCACAUAAGCAAGAGUGUUAUGAUUAUUCAAAGACCAUUUUCUAUUAGAUUGAUAAUCUGGAUAGAUUUAGGGCCUCAUUGGACAUCGAAUUAAGUUAAUUAUCUAGUAAUAACGAGUGCAAAUCAAGUAAAAGAAGUGUUUGAUUUAGCACCUUAUAAUUAAGGCCUUAAAAGCCAUAGAUUUUCUCAAAUGAGGCAUUUCGCUGACAAAGUGAUUUAUCUAGCUUGGUAUACGAUAGGAGGCAUCUAAUCAUACUCCUCUAAUAACUAUUGAUUCUUUAAGAGUAAACAAAAAUAUAUAUACCAAACAAGAUAUUUAUGCAUCCAUAGGCCCUCAAGCCUGCUUUAUUUUCACGGUGUUGUGCGCAUGCACUUAUGUAAAUUAAAUAACUAAAUUUGACCAAAGACUGAGAAAUAAGGAAUAUCAGUUAGUUCCCACUUCAUUUAUUUAUCUGAACAUAGACCCAAUACAGCUAUUCAAGGUUUUGGGGGGAAAAAAGAAAAUUCCAAGUAGAGAAACUUAACAUAUAUAUAUAUAGUAAACGAGCCGUUUUACUACCGAUUUGUUUUCGAUGAUAGAACUUUCAAAUUGACGAUCGGCUCCGUUGAACAUGAUUUAUACCACUUGAAGUGUUUGGAAAUCAAAUUUCAUAUCUUUCGACAUCAUUUGCCUAGUGAUCAAAGAGUUGCAAAAUUUGUAAUUUUAAUGGUCGAUAAGAGGCGUUUUCUCGUUUCACGGCGUAAAGAUACCCAGAUCAAUUGAAUUUUUGUUAGAAAAUUCUUUAAACUAUUUAAAACAAGAUCUAUACUCUUGAUCUUGAUUACAAGACUUCUAUUAUCAUUUUUUAAAGAGUAUUCAUUUUCAGCCAUUCAAUUUUCUGUUCACUUGAUGGAUAAAAGAACAAUAUCGAAAGUGCGUGAAAUUUGAUUUCUAGGUAGUUUAAAUGGUUUAGAUCAUAUUUAACGGAGCUGAUCGUCAAUUUGGAAGCUCUAUCAUCGAAAACAAAUCGGUAGUAAAACGGCUCGUUUACUACCGAUAGUAUUCUAGCUCAACUCUCUCUCUAUAUAUAUAUAGAGAGAGAGAGAGAGAGAGUUAGGUUGGUAUACUAUCGGUAGCACGGAAGCCUCCGUGCUACCAAGUUGUUUUCAAUAUUGCGGCUUCCAAAUCGACAAUCGGCAAUCGACAAUUCGCUCCGUUAGACUUUCUAUAUUAUUAAAAGUAUUUGAAAAUUAAAUUUCAUAAUUUUUCGAUAUCAUCUACCUAUCAAAUGAGUAGUCUAAAAAUAAACGGCUGAAAAUAAAAAUCGCAUAAAAAAUGAUGAAAAAAGACUUGAAUCUAAUAGUGUUUUAAUUUUCUAUAAAAUUUCAUUAGAUUUGGAUUAUUUUACACCGUUAAAUUCACAAACGCAUCACAUUGACCAUUAAAAUUCUCAAUUUUGAGACCUUUUGAUCAUUAGACAAAUGAUGUCGAAAAAUUAUGAAAUUUAAUUUUCAAAUAUCUAACAAAGCCGAUCGUCGAUUUGGAAGCCACAUUAUUGAAAACAACUUGGUAGCACGGAGGCCUCCGUGCUACCGAUAGUUACCGCCUAGUGCUCUCGUCUCUCUCUCUCUCCUCUCUACUCGGUUCUCUCCUCGCUCGCUCUCUCAUCUCCUUAUCUCCGCCUCUGCUCCUAUCUCCAGUUCUGCAUUUCUGCUCUCCCGUCAAAAGACUCAAGGUCCUAUCCGGCCUCGAUCACUCUCAUGUGAUCUCAGAACAUUCGUCGCUCUCACGCCAGUCCCCAGAGUUGUGACAGCCGUCAAUCACUGAUCAGGGUUCGCCCAACCCUCCCCUCUCAAUCAUCUCAGGAAUCAGUCCACCACAAAGUACGUCACUGCACGAUCUCUCUCUAUUAUAUAUAUAUAUAUAUAUAUUAUAUGCUGGCUACUACUAUACUCUUAUGAGUAUAGAUCUUUUCUUGUACUCAUAAAUUUUUAACCCUUGAUUGAUGGGAUAUGUGGUUAGGAUGAUGGUGGUCCCCACUUAGAAUGAUAGUGGUCCCCCAGGGUUGAGUGUGUAGUUGGUUGAAUAAUAUGAUCUAACGGGUGAAAAUGAUCAAUGGAAUAAAUUUGAGGGCCAAAAUUUUAUGAGUAUAAGGGAGACAAUACUCAUAAAAGUAUAGUAGCCGGACUAUAUAUAUAUAUCAAAAUUUAUAAUUUUAAUGGUCAAUAAGAGGCGUUUUCUCGUUUAACGGCGUAAAGAUAUCCAAAUCAAUUGAAUUUUUGUUAGAAAAUUCUUUAAACUAUUUAAAACAGGAUCUAUACUCUUGAUCUUGAUUAUAAGACUCCUAUCAUCAUUUUUUAAAGAAUAUUCAUUUUCAGCCAUUCAUUUUUUUGUUCACUUGAUGGAUAAAAGAACAAUAUCGAAAGCGCGUGAAAUUUGAUUUAUAGGUAGUUUAAAUGGUUUAGAUCAUAUUUAACGGAGCCGAUCGUCAAUUUGGAAGCUCUAUUAUUGAAAACAAAUAGGUAGUAAAACUGCUCGUUUAUUACUAAUAGUAUUCUAACUCAACUAUAUAUAUAUAUAUAUAUAUAUAUGCAAGCAU